UCGGGGCGUAGCGCAGUUGGCUAGCGCACUUGUAUGGGGUGCAAGGGGUCGGAGGUUCAAGUCCUCUCGCCCCGAU
rnacentral:tRNA from 1 species